rnacentral:rRNA from 1 species
CUCCUACGGGAGGCAGCAGUAGGGAAUCUUCGGCAAAGGGGGCAACCCUAGACCGAGCAACGCCGCGUGAGUGAAGAAGGUUUUCGGAUCGUAAAGCUCUGUUGUAAGUCAAGAACGGGUGUGAGAGUGGAAAGUUCACACUGUGACGGUAGCUUACCAGAAAGGGACGGCUAACUACGUGCCAGCAGCCGCGGUAAUACGUAGGUCCCGAGCGUUGUCCGGAUUUAUUGGGCGUAAAGCGAGCGCAGGUGGUUUAUUAAGUCUGGUGUAAAAGGCAGUGGCUCAACCACUGUAUGCAUUGGAAACUGGUAGACUUGAGUGCAGGAGAGGAGAGUGGAAUUCCAUGUGUAGCGGUGAAAUGCGUAGAUAUAUGGAGGAACACCGGUGGCGAAAGCGGCUCUCUGGCCUGUAACUGGCACUGAGGCUCGAAAGCGUGGGGAGCAAACAGGAUUAGAUACCCUGGUAGUCCACGCCGUAAACGAUGAGUGCUAAGUGUUGGAGGGUUUCCGCCCUUCAGUGCUGCAGCUAACGCAUUAAGCACUCCGCCUGGGGAGUACGACCGCAAGGUUGAAACUCAAAGGAAUUGACGGGGGCCCGCACAGGCGGUGGAGCAUGUGGUUUAAUUCGAAGCAACGCGAAGAACCUUACCAGGUCUUGACAUCCUUUGACCACUCUAGAGAUAGAACUUCCCCUUCGGGGGCAAAGUGACAGGUGGUGCAUGGUUGUCGUCAGCUCGUGUCGUGAGAUGUUGGGUUAAGUCCCGCAACGAGCGCAACCCUUAUUGUUAGUUGCCAUCAUUUAGUUGGGCACUCUAGCAAGACUGCCGGUGACAAACCGGAGGAAGGUGGGGAUGACGUCAAAUCAUCAUGCCCCUUAUGACCUGGGCUACACACGUGCUACAAUGGGAAGUACAACGAGUCGCGAAGUCGCGAGGCUAAGCUAAUCUCUUAAAGCUUCUCUCAGUUCGGAUUGUAGGCUGCAACUCGCCUACAUGAAGCCGGAAUCGCUAGUAAUCGCGGAUCAGCACGCCGCGGUGAAUACGUUCCCGGGCCUUGUACACACCGCCCGU